GGGAGCCGGAGUUUGGCAGCGGCAGGCUGGACCCCGCGCCUGGAGCCUCUCUCAAGUCGAACUUUCUGCUCUCUUAUCCUUGCAGUCGCUGCCACCAUUUCACAGAUGGAAGACCGGGGCAUAGAGAGAUCAAAUGAGGCCCAAAGUCACGGGGCGGCUGCAAUAGGGGAGGAUUGAAUUCGGUCAACGUGUCCCCAAGGCUGAUCAAAGUACAAUCUGGCGAUGAGCUGCAGUGUUUUAACUGCUCCCUGUGGCUCAGAAACCAGACCUCCAGGCACUCAACUUAAAGACCUGGCUGAUCCUUUGUGAUGAUGAAGACUGAGGCCAUUCACUGAAUGAAGCUUGCUCAGAACAGAGACAGGAAAUGACCUCAUGCCCACCAGCAGGGACGCACUAGACAGGUGACAAAUCUGGCUGUCCCUGGAGGGGGGGGCAGGUGCUCAGAAGGAGGGGGCAGAACUUCAUAUGCGAAUAUGGGCUUAUUGUGAUUGUACUGCCAAAUAAAACAAUUACAAACCUUGCUUAGUAUGA